UUGCGCUGUUUUAGCCCAAAUUAGCCCCAAUCCUAACUAUCUACUAACUGUAUGAAUUUAGGAUAUCCUGGAUCCAAUUCACAGCUCCUUAAAUGUGUACUUCUUGCAAAAGAUCGCCAAUGUCACUAAAUUAAUGGAUUCUGUGUUAAAAUGGGGCAAAGCCGGCUUGGUAAAGCGAAAAGGAAGAUGAAUCGAGUGUGUCCAUUCGAGUGUCUUUAACGGCACCAGUCUAAUUGCAAAAAGACUGUCGUCCUAAGUGGCAGUUAGCCACAUUCCCGUAUCAGCUCAUUAGAAACAAAGAUAAGUUUAAUUGGAAAUUAUGCGCGAAUGAUACUGUUAAUUUGCUUAAUGUUCGCCAAAGUGUUUUGGUAAUUAUACAAGAAUUUCUAAUUGCAGAUACCAAUAUUGAUGAAGUGUGUGGUGACGGUGGUCGUUCGGCUAAGCGCGAUAAGAGAAUAUGAGAAAACGGUGGCUGUUUUUGUCGGAAAUUCCCAUAAACAAAACAAUACCCAUUCGCAUUGAAGGUCUGUUUUCACAGAAUGGAACUAAAAUAUUGCUCCUAAUAAAAACCACAUAUAGUCUUGUUGACACACUAAUUUGAACAACUGAAAUAACACGAGACUACUUUGCAGUACGAAAAUGCAUGUUUGGCUACUCGUUAGGAAAAUAGUUUUGUGGCCAUUUAACUGCUAUUAACGCGUGAUGAUGAAUACGAGUGAGGAAAAGAGCAAGUUAUAUGUUUUAAGAACUCUUAGCGCACCAUUAUUUGCCUGUCAGACAAAUAGAUUGAUGAUUAUUCAUUGAGUUUCAAUGAAACUUUCAGAGGUUCGGCAGCCUAAGCAAUACAUCUGAAGAUGGUAGUCAUAAGUGCUGGCAAAAAGUCAGCACCAAGUUCCCAUCAACGGUGGUCUAAAAACCCGAAAAUCGUCAUUUUUCCAAUGGUUUCGUCAAUAUUUUAGUUGAAAUGCUGAAUAGAGCUGUGGAGUUUCGGAUUCGAGUCUUCUCGCGUGCCAUAAAAGCUGGUUCAAAAUUGGCGCAAAAAUAUUUUUUCCAAUUUCAUCUGCCUUGAAGUUGAGAUUUUUAAGCCGUGAAGGUGGCAAUUUGGAACGCAGCAGCGCACUGGCGAUCGCGCAUCUCUCAUAGAAGCAAUGUGUGCGAGUGAGCUAACCGAUGCGGGCAACGUUCUCGAGUGCGAAAUCAGUUUCAUUUAAAAUCGAAAAUUUGUUCGCACUCUAGGCGAACUCACCUCUGAAGAUGCUAGUCAGGAGUGCUAGUGCUACACUAAUUCCGUACACCUUGUAGAAAAAAAACUGUAAUAAACCAUAGAAAUAAAUAAAAUGUGUGUGCCUUCCCAUGUAGUGGUUACGAAAUACGAAAUUAAUCAUAUUCAAUAAAGCAUUUUAAUGUG